CUCCGCUUCCAUCCAGCAGGGAGGGGCAGAAACGCGAAGGUGAACUCUAAGGAAGUUUUCUACCAAAACGAAUUACUGCUAUCUGUCUCCUUCCAGCUGUAGGAAUGUCAAACUCCCGGGGCUGGACCGAGAGUCUCUUGCUUUGUUUGGAGAUUUUGCCUGUUUUUUUUGUUUGUUUGUUUGUUUUUGAUUUCCAAGUCCUUAUAACAAGCCAAGCAAGCUCUCUCCCUCUAGCUACACCCGGAACCCAGAAGUGUUUAAGCAAGCAUUUUGUAUGACUCUGACGCAUGACACAAAGAUGGAUGGGCACAGAAGGACCUUCACCCUUGUUUCUUAAGUGGCAGUGCUAGCCACUGAGCAAACCUGCUUUUCACCUCAACUUCUGCACAGACCCCUCCAGACCAUGAACAACAGGACACCGGGGAAUCUACUGCCUUGAGUUGCCUAGGGCAAAGGAGGUUGGUCUUCCUACAAACUCCUAAUCCACAAGAUCCUCUGAAGCCUGGCAGGCCUAAACCUAACAACAGAAGAUUGAUGAUGUCCUCAGUGACCAUGGAAGACCCUGGGGAGUGACUGUUCAGGCGGCCAAGGAACUUACUCUACAGUGACUGCCCUCAGCCCUGCCUCCUGAGUGUUAAG
rnacentral:lncRNA from 1 species